CUUAUCCUCAUAGUUCUUCUCUCUCAUUGAAACUUCCCAGCAGCAGCCGCUGACAUAUGAACUUCGCAGAUGAAGAUGCCACCGCAUGGCUAUUUCUUGACUGCUCUGCUGAGGGCUUAGAAGAAAUGGGACCAAACAGCCAUGGAUUAGAACCUUUGAAGCUAUGAGCCAAGAUGAAACUCCCUAAAGCAGAAGGGGCACGAGCCAUGACAAGGACUUUCCAAGUUCAACACAGGUGCUAGGAAGACAGUUUCAGGCUUUCUCUUCACUGAAUUCCAACGAGCCAGGCAUGGGGACGAGAAGGCCAGAGUUAAAUUAAACCACAAUCAAAAAUAACCAGGGCCAUGGAGAGCGAGGUACUGAACUGCAUCUAAAAAGAAAAAAGAAAAAGUCUUUAAAAAGCCGUGAUUACGGCAGCCUUCUUUCUCUCUCCUGCCCUGCUUGUCACAGUUCUUCAGAUUGGUGAGAAGACAUGGACUCGAAGAGGUUGUGAUUCCUCUACAGGGGCGGAGUUACGCAGUCCCCUGUAUGUGAGACUUCUGGGGUGGAGCAGGAAUAGGUUUCCUGAAGGCUCUUCUCCUGCCUGCCUCCUGACUGUGCCGCUUGUGAAUUAAGGAUUGCUGUUUUAUUGGAGUAAUCUGCUCGGCUAUUGGCUUUUUUUUACCUUGUUUAUCUACAGCUGUGGAGAAUGGCCUAUUUGUAAAUAAAACCUAUUAAUUCUAUCUCUUAGCUUGGGCUCUUUCAAGGGCGACUCUGAGAGGCCUUGGAGCAGGUUAUUUAUU